rnacentral:rRNA from 1 species
CUCACUGGUCGAGUCGGCCUGCGCGGAAGAUGUAACGGGGCUAAACCAUGCACCGAAGCUGCGGCAGCGACACUGUGUGUUGUUGGGUAGGGGAGCGUUCUGUAAGCCUGUGAAGGUGGCCUGUGAGGGUUGCUGGAGGUAUCAGAAGUGCGAAUGCUGACAUAAGUAACGAUAAAGCGGGUGAAAAGCCCGCUCGCCGGAAGACCAAGGGUUCCUGUCCAACGUUAAUCGGGGCAGGGUGAGUCGACCCCUAAGGCGAGGCCGAAAGGCGUAGUCGAUGGGAAACGGGUUAAUAUUCCCGUACUUGGUGUUACUGCGAAGGGGGGACGGAGAAGGCUAUGUUGGCCGGGCGACGGUUGUCCCGGUUUAAGCGUGUAGGUGUGUGUUCCAGGUAAAUCCGGUUCACUUUAACACUGAGGCGUGACGACGAGGCACUACGGUGCUGAAGCAACAAAUGCCCUGCUUCCAGGAAAAGCCUCUAAGCAUCAGGUAACAUCAAAUCGUACCCCAAACCGACACAGGUGGUCAGGUAGAGAAUACCAAGGCGCUUGAGAGAACUCGGGUGAAGGAACUAGGCAAAAUGGUGCCGUAACUUCGGGAGAAGGCACGCUGACACGUAGGUGAAGUGAUUUACUCACGGAGCUGAAGUCAGUCGAAGAUACCAGCUGGCUGCAACUGUUUAUUAAAAACACAGCACUGUGCAAACACGAAAGUGGACGUAUACGGUGUGACGCCUGCCCGGUGCCGGAAGGUUAAUUGAUGGGGUCAGCGCAAGCGAAGCUCCUGAUCGAAGCCCCGGUAAACGGCGGCCGUAACUAUAACGGUCCUAAGGUAGCGAAAUUCCUUGUCGGGUAAGUUCCGACCUGCACGAAUGGCGUAAUGAUGGCCAGGCUGUCUCCACCCGAGACUCAGUGAAAUUGAACUCGCUGUGAAGAUGCAGUGUACCCGCGGCAAGACGGAAAGACCCCGUGAACCUUUACUAUAGCUUGACACUGAACAUUGAGCCUUGAUGUGUAGGAUAGGUGGGAGGCUUUGAAGCGUGGACGCCAGUCUGCGUGGAGCCGACCUUGAAAUACCACCCUUUAAUGUUUGAUGUUCUAACGUGGACCCGUGAUCCGGGUUGCGGACAGUGUCUGGUGGGUAGUUUGACUGGGGCGGUCUCCUCCUAAAGAGUAACGGAGGAGCACGAAGGUUGGCUAAUCCUGGUCGGACAUCAGGAGGUUAGUGCAAUGGCAUAAGCCAGCUUGACUGCGAGCGUGACGGCGCGAGCAGGUGCGAAAGCAGGUCAUAGUGAUCCGGUGGUUCUGAAUGGAAGGGCCAUCGCUCAACGGAUAAAAGGUACUCCGGGGAUAACAGGCUGAUACCGCCCAAGAGUUCAUAUCGACGGCGGUGUUUGGCACCUCGAUGUCGGCUCAUCACAUCCUGGGGCUGAAGUAGGUCCCAAGGGUAUGGCUGUUCGCCAUUUAAAGUGGUACGCGAGCUGGGUUUAGAACGUCGUGAGACAGUUCGGUCCCUAUCUGCCGUGGGCGCUGGAGAACUGAGGGGGGCUGCUCCUAGUACGAGAGGACCGGAGUGGACGCAUCACUGGUGUUCGGGUUGUCAUGCCAAUGGCACUGCCCGGUAGCUAAAUGCGGAAGAGAUAAGUGCUGAAAGCAUCUAAGCACGAAACUUGCCCCGAG